rnacentral:tRNA from 1 species
GGGGUUGUGUCUCAGUGAUAGAGCACUCGCCUAACAUGUGUGAGGCACUGGGUUCGAUUCUCAGCACCACA